AAAUCAGGGUUCGAUACCGGAGAGGGAGCCUGAGAAACGGCUACCACAUCCAAGGAAGGCAGCAGGCACGCAAAUUACCCACUCCCGGCUCGGGGAGGUAGUGACGAAAAAUAACAAUACCGGACUCUUCCGAGGCUCGGUAAUUGGAAUGGGUACACUUCAAAUCCUUUAACGAGUAUCUAUUGGAGGGCAAGUCUGGUGCCAGCAGCCGCGGUAAUUCCAGCUCCAAUAGCGUAUAUUAAAGUUGCUGCGGUUAAAAAGCUCGUAGUUGGAUCUCAGUCUCGGUCGGACGGUCCGCUUUAUAGUGGUACUGGACGAAUCGGACAUUCAGCCGCCUUUCUCAGUAUGCUCUUUACUGAGUGUAUUGGGACAGUGGCGCUUUCACUUUGAAAAAAUUAGAGUGCUCAAAGCAGGCUCACGCCUGAAUCUUCGUGCAUGGAAUGAUGGAAUAGGGCCUCGGUUCUAUUUUGUUGGUUUCCGGAACUCGAGGUAAUGAUUAAGAGGGACGGACGGGGGCAUUCGUAUUGCGACGUUAGAGGUGAAAUUCUUAGAUCGUCGCAAGACGAACUACUGCGAAAGCAUUUGCCAAGAAUGUUUUCAUUAAUCAAGAACGAAAGUCAGAGGUUCGAAGGCGAUCAGAUACCGCCCUAGUUCUGACCAUAAACGAUGCUGACUAGCGAUCCGUCGGCGUUACAACACAUGACCCGACGGGCAGCUUCCGGGAAACCAAAGUUUUUAUGUUCCGGGGGAAGUAUGCGUUGCAAAACUGGAACUUAAAGGAAUUGACGGAAGGGCACCACCAGGAGUGGAGCCUGUGGCUUAAUUUGACCCAACACGGGAAAUCUCACCAGGCCCGGACACUAGCAGGAUUGACAGAUUGAUAGCUCUUUCUUGAUUUGGUGGGUGGUGGUGCAUGGCCGUUCUUAGUUGGUGGAGUGAUUUGUCUGGUUAAUUCCGAUAACGAACGAGACCCCGUCCUACUUACUAGACCGAGGAUCCUCUCGUUCUCGCGUCUUCUUAGAGGGACAAAUGAUUUUACCUUGAACUACAUGAAAUGGGGCAAUAACAGGUCUGUGAUGCCCUUAGAUGUUCUGGGCUGCACACGCGCUACACUGAAGGGAUCAUCGUGUUAACUAGCUCGAGAGAGCUUGUCAACCCGUUGAAUUCUCUUCGUGCUAGGGAUUGAGGCUUGCAAUUGUUUCUCAUGAACGAGGAAUUCCCAGUAAGUGCAAGUCAUAAGCUUGCGCUGAUUACGUCCCUGCCCUUUGUACACACCGCCCGUCGCUACUACCGAUUGGAUGAUUUAGUGAGGACUUCGGACUGGCUGCUCGUGGGGUAAAACCUGCAAGCGGAUCGGGAAGAUGUUCAAACUGUAUCAUCUAGAGGAAGUAAAAGUCGUAACAAGGUU
rnacentral:rRNA from 1 species